rnacentral:rRNA from 1 species
UACGGGGGGAGCAAGCGUUGUUCGGACUUACUGGGCGUAAAGGGCGCGUAGGCGGUCAGCACAAGUCAGUUGUGAAAUCUCCGGGCUUAACCCGGAAAGGUCAACUGAUACUGUGCGACUAGAGUGCGGAAGGGGCAACUGGAAUUCUCGGUGUAGCGGUGAAAUGCGUAGAUAUCGAGAGGAACACCUGCGGCGAAGGCGGGUUGCUGGGCCGACACUGACGCUGAUGCGCGAAAGCCAGGGGAGCGAACGGG